ensembl:miRNA mir-87 ncRNA
GGUUGUGCCAUCCGGCCGCCUGAUACUUUCGUCUCAACCUCGCUGUCAGAUUGGUCGUAGGUGAGCAAAGUUUCAGGUGUGCCGGAACACACCC